CGAUUCCACAUAAAAAAUAGACAAUCUCCAGCCCCUCAUUAUAAAUAAACACUACUAUGACUAUCCUUUACAAUCCCAAACUCAAAAGACAUCUUUUAACUAAAAAAAUUGCUUUGACAAGAAGAGAUGAUAUCUCUUCAUAUCUUCCCUCCAUUACCUUCCUCUCAAGAUCCUAAAUUUAUCUCAACCCAAUUCCUCAAACCCACCAAAAUCCCUAAUUUCACAAUCCUCAACCUUCACCACGAAUACUUAACCUUUGUCUCAAAACCCCCAAAUUUCCCAGGGUUUAACAACAAAACCCACUUCCAGAAACUUCAAUGCCAUGCCAUUAAGGACUCUGGUGAAGACAGCAAGGCUGUGUUCGAAUCUAGUGGUGGUGGUAGUGGUGGUGGUGGUGGUGGUGAUGGUGGGGAUGAUGAGCAAGUGGAGAAGAAGAGUGGGGGUUCUGGGCCUUUGCCAGAAUGGCUGAAUAUCACUUCUGACGAUGCAAAGACGGUGUUUGCGGCACUGGCGAUAUCGCUGGCUUUCCGGUCCUUUGUGGCUGAGCCGAGGUACAUUCCUUCGCUGUCCAUGUAUCCUACAUUUGAUGUUGGAGAUCGAAUUGUUGCGGAAAAGGUUUCGUACUACUUCAGAAAGCCAUGUGCAAAUGAUAUAGUAAUAUUUAAAAGUCCACCCGUACUCCAAGAAGUAGGAUAUACUGAUGAUGAUGUAUUUAUUAAACGAGUUGUUGCCAAGGAAGGUGAUGUAGUGGAGGUUCGUAAAGGGAAGCUUAUAGUUAAUGGGGUUGAGAGAAAAGAAAAUUUCAUCCUUGAACCACCUUCUUAUGACAUGACACCGAUUCGUGUACCAGAGAACUAUGUCUUUGUGAUGGGUGACAACCGUAAUAAUAGCUAUGAUUCACACGUAUGGGGUCCUCUGCCAGCCAAGAAUAUAAUAGGAAGAUCGGUAUUACGGUAUUGGCCCCCAAACAGGGUUGCUGGCACAGUUCUUGAGGCUGGCUGUGCUGUUGACAUGCAGGAGAGCAGUCCAGUGUCUGAAUGAAAUCCAGCCCUGAGGAUGCAUCACCCAUCAAAAAGGAAGAAAAUGAUGAAUGUAAUACAAACCAAUUUAUUCAUCUCCCACCUUAAAGCAAGCAUGAAGCAGCUGGAGAAUGUUAUAGGAAUUUGUCAAUUUGGUUCUCCAAUAGACAACAGCUAUGUACGUCUAUAUUGUGUUUCUAUCGUUUAGAGGCGAAGGUGGUGUUUAUAUUCUGCCGCAUUCUUUGUCAAGGAUUUUUCUAAUGGGCUUCUCAAGUUAUUAUGCUGCGCAUAAGAACCAAAGGAAAAGGCUGCUAACUCUAUUUCUAGCAAUAUUAGCAUAAAAGCUCAUUAUAAAUAA